UAAAGGCCAUGAAGGCUGAGGUAGGUUGUUGGCAAAGGAAGCUCCAGCUGAAAGAGAACGUCGCAGUCUUGAUUAAAAGAGAUUUAAGAGAUACCAAAUUAAGAAUUCCAAAGAAGAUAGAAAUGGGGUUAGGAAGGGAAUUUUUUCCCUCUUGCUUCUUAUCUUCCUUCUCCGCUUCAAGGUAUGUUGUGCUACUGUGUGAAUCUACAAGGGAGGAAUCAGACUUCGUCUUUUUUCUAAAGACAGAGCAAGACCUUUGUGUUUUAGAUCUACAGUGUCUUAGAGAGCAGCUAGGUCAAUGGUUGUCAAAUUGCUCUGGGAAGCCCCACAUGGGGGCAAUACUUCAAGAGACUGCGUGGCUAAAGAUGGAGUCUUGCUCUUCUGCCCA